GACGAACGCUGGCGGCGUGCCUAAUACAUGCAAGUCGAACGAGUUGCGAACGGGUGAGUAACGCGUGGUAACCUGCCUGGUAGCGGGGGAUAACUAUUGGAAACGAUAGCUAAUACCGCAUACUACCAGAUGGACCUGGGUUGUAUUAGCUAGUAGGUGGGGUAACGGCUCACCUAGGCGACGAUCCCUAGCUGGUCUGAGAGGAUGACCAUACACACUGGAACUGAGACACGGUCCAGACUCCUACGGGAGGCAGCAGUGGGGAAUAUUGGACAAUGGGCGCAAGCCUGAUGCAGCCAUGCCGCGUGUAUGAAGAAGGCCUUCGGGUUGUAAAGUACUUUCAGCGGGGAGGCGUUACCCGCAGAAGAAGCACCGGCUAACUCCGUGCCAACCGCCGCGGUAAUAC
rnacentral:rRNA from 1 species